rnacentral:rRNA from 1 species
GAUGAACGCUGGCGGCGUGCCUAAUACAUGCGAGUCGAGCGAACGGACGAGAAGCUUGCUUCUCUGAUGUUAGCGGCGGACGGGUGAGUAACACGUGGAUAACCUACCUAUAAGACUGGGAUAACUUCGGGAAACCGGAGCUAAUACCGGAUAAUAUUUUGAACCGCAUGGUUCAAAAGCGAAAGACGGUCUUGCUGUCACUUAUAGAUGGAUCCGCGCUGCAUUAGCUAGUUGGUAAGGUAACGGCUUACCAAGGCAACGAUGCAUAGCCGACCUGAGAGGGUGAUCGGCCACACUGGAACUGAGACACGGUCCAGACGCCUACGGGAGGCAGCAGUAGGGAAUCUUCCGCAAUGGGCGAAAGCCUGACGGAGCAACGCCGCGUGAGUGAUGAAGGUCUUCGGAUCGUAAAACUCUGUUAUUAGGGAAGAACAUAUGUGUAAGUAACUGUGCACAUCUUGACGGUACCUAAUCAGAAAGCCACGGCUAACUACGUG